AUUGAACGCUGGCGGUAUGCUUUACACAUGCAAGUCGAACGGUAGAGGGGCAACCCUUGAGAGUGGCGAACGGGUGAGUAAUACAUCGGAACGUGCCCAGUCGUGGGGGAUAACGUAGCGAAAGCUACGCUAAUACCGCAUACGACCUGAGGGUGAAAGCGGGGGACUCGCAAGGGCCUCGCGCAAUUGGAGCGGCCGAUGGCAGAUUAGGUAGUUAGUGAGGUAAAGGCUCACCAAGCCGACGAUCUGUAGCUGGUCUGAGAGGACGACCAGCCACACUGGGACUGAGACACGGCCCAGACUCCUACGGGAGGCAGCAGUGGGGAAUUUUUGACAAUGGGCGCAAGCCUGAUCCAGCCAUACCGCGUGCAGGAAGAAGGCCUUCGGGUUGUAAACUGCUUUUGUCAGGGAAGAAAUCUUCUGGGCUAAUACCCUGGGAGGAUGACGGUACCUGAAGAAUAAGCACCGGCUAACUACGUGCCAGCCGCCGCAGUAAGAC
rnacentral:rRNA from 1 species